GACGAACGCUGGCGGCGUGCUUAACACAUGCAAGUCGAACGGUGAGGCGCUUUCCUUUUUGGUUGGUGUGGAUGAGUGGCGAACGGGUGAGUAACACGUGAGUAACCUGCCCCCUUCUUCUGGAUAACCGCAUGAAAGUGUGGCUAAUACGGGAUAUUCUGCGCCUGCUGCAUGGUGGGUGUGGGAAAGAUUGUGCCUUUGGGUGUUUUCGGUGGGGGAUGGGCUCGCGGCCUAUCAGCUUGUUGGUGGGGUGAUGGCCUACCAAGGCGGUGACGGGUAGCCGGCCUGAGAGGGUGGACGGUCACGCUGGGACUGAGACACGGCCCAGACUCCUACGGGAGGCAGCAGUGGGGAAUAUUGCACAAUGGGCGCAAGCCUGAUGCAGCGACGCCGCGUGAGGGAUGGAGGCCUUCGGGUUGUGAACCUCUUUCGCCAGUGAAGCAGGCCUGCUCCUUGUGGGUGGGUUGACGGUAGCUGGAGAAGAAGCGCCGGCUAACUACGUG
rnacentral:rRNA from 1 species